ACAGCAUCAGCCGCGGUAAUACAGAGGGUGCGAGCGUUAAUCGGAUUUACUGGGCGUAAAGCGUGCGUAGGCGGCUUCUUAAGUCGGAUGUGAAAUCCCUGAGCUUAACUUAGGAAUUGCAUUCGAUACUGGGAAGCUAGAGUAUGGGAGAGGAUGGUAGAAUUCCAGGUGUAGCGGUGAAAUGCGUAGAGAUCUGGAGGAAUACCGAUGGCGAAGGCAGCCAUCUGGCCUAAUACUGACGCUGAGGUACGAAAGCAUGGGGAGCAAACAGGAUUAGAUACCCCCGUAGUCCCUGUCUCUUAUAC
rnacentral:rRNA from 1 species